AUUGAACGCUGGCGGCAUGCUUUACACAUGCAAGUCGAACGGCAGCACGGGUGCUUGCAUCUGGUGGCGAGUGGCGGACGGGUGAGUAAUACAUCGGAACGUGUCCUGAAGUGGGGGAUAACGCAUCGAAAGAUGUGCUAAUACCGCAUAUUCUCUGAGGAGGAAAGUAGGGGAUCGAAAGACCUUAUGCUUUUGGAGCGGCCGAUGUCUGAUUAGCUAGUUGGUAAGGUAAUGGCUUACCAAGGCGACGAUCAGUAGUUGGUCUGAGAGGACGACCAGCCACACUGGGACUGAGACACGGCCCAGACUCCUACGGGAGGCAGCAGUGGGGAAUUUUGGACAAUGGGCGCAAGCCUGAUCCAGCAAUGCCGCGUGAGUGAAGAAGG
rnacentral:rRNA from 1 species